UGGGGAAUUUUGCACAAUGGGGGAAACCCUAAUGCAGCGACGCCGCGUGAUUUAGAAGGCCUUCGGGUUGUAAAAAUCUUUUCUAUGGGAAGAAAAUGACAGUACCAUAGGAAUAAGGACCGGCUAAUUACGUGCCAGCAGCCGCGGUAAUACGUAAGGUCCGAGCGUUGUCCGGAAUCAUUGGGCGUAAAGGGUACGUAGGCGGGUAAGCAAGUUAGAAGUGAAAUCCUAUAGCUCAACUAUAGUAAGCUUUUAAAACUGCUCAUCUUGAGGUAUGGAAGGGAAAGUGGAAUUCCUAGUGUAGCGGUGAAAUGCGCAGAUAUUAGGAGGAAUACCGGUGGCGAAGGCGACUUUCUGGCCAUAACCUGACGCUGAGGUACGAAAGCGUGGGUAGCAAACAGG
rnacentral:rRNA from 1 species